GGAAGCGCAGUCGUUAUGGAAGAGUUGACUUGGACGGCCAGCUGCCAGAGGCCGGGUCCGGCUCACCAGUGUGUCCUCAGCCCCGGCACAGCCUUGCACAUGUGUUUGUUGACUGACCACUGUAAAGCCUAAGUGCUGUUAAAAUGUAAGCAUCACCUGACCUCAGGUCCCGCCAGCUACUUCUGGGAGCAAAGUCAAAAUUGCAGCCACCCGAUUGCUCAAGAGACUUUAGGGAUUUGUGCUUUGCUGUAAAAUUUCGACAAAGAAAACACCUCUCAGCCGCCACGGGCGGUGGCGCAGCUUUGCCACACCUGAGUUGAGACCCCUGGGUGCGGCCUGGGCAGAAUGAACAUAGAAAAAAUGAAGUGAAGACACCAUUUGAUAAAUGGAGCUGAACACAUUCUACAUCUCAAUGUCAGCGUCUGACCACUACUGCUGGUGCUUAGCGCUGCUCAGCAUGGCUAUUUCUCCUCGGCAGAAGGCCGGUGAGGAAGUCUCCUUCUGAUGGAGUUACAAGUCUGGGCUGGAGAACUGUAAACAGAGCCCUGCUGCACACCCACGGGUGUGAAGCUCACCAGGGCGAAGCUCACCAGCCGGGCAUUUAUUUAUUCAGUCCUUCUGAAGCAGGGUCUCACUGUGCAGUCCAGGCUGGUCUUGAACUCACUGUGUAGCCCAGGCUGGCCUUGAGCUUGGAUCCACUGUGUCAGCCUCCUGAGUGCUGAGAUUACAGGCGUGUACCGCCAUACCUGGCUGAAGCUUCAUUUCUAAGUGUGAAAAAUGUGCGUGUGUGUGUGGUGAGAGGAAGCUGUUCUAGUGAAGCAGACGUGGGAUGCUGUGGAGUUGGAUCGGUUUUUUUGGGGGGAGGGCUGGUUUCCAGUACCGGGAAUUGAACUCGCGACCUUGCGCUUGCCAGGCAGGCGCUGUGCCGCUGAGCUAAAUCCCCAGCCUCUGUGGAGUUGGAUUGAAUGAGAUCUUUCCCCCAGACCUUCGCAUUUGCCUCUUCCCUACCCAGGCAUCCCUGCUGCAAGAGGCUUA